CAACUGCACUGAUAGUCCAGAAAACUCAACGAUAUGAUCGUCGUCUUCUGCUUAAUGUUCAACAUGAUUCACGUUUUAGGCUCUUCCCUCAGCGAUCGGGUCCGUCAGACUCCGGCUGAGAUGUUCCACGAGCCCGGAGAAAACGCCACCAUCAGCUGCACACACGGAAUCGACAACUACGAUGUAAUCCUCUGGUACAAACACUCAACGAGCCGCCAGAUGCAGCUCCUGGGAUACAACGAUGUCGUUAACGGAUACCCAGAGCCGGGAGCCAAGGUGAAAAUCAGUGGCAGCGCAAGCAAAGACAAGAACAGCACUCUGACGUUGGAGCGUCUGAGCAUGAGCAGCAGCGCCGUUUAUUUCUGCGCCGCUAGAUACCACAGUGCUUCACGUCGACGCUCCCCAGCACAAAAACCUCGAGUUGAAUCUUUUUGAUGUCAUAUCUGUUUUUGGAGCCGUGUUGCUUCCUUUCAUGAGGCGGCGGUGUAUCGUCACAGACGGCCUCAGUGCUGAGGAGAAACUGAAGCUCCUCCUCCUUCAUGAUGAUUUGAUAAAAGGAACAUCUGAUAAAACACUAAUAAUCAGUCCACUCGGAUACACUGGCAGCACCUUUCUGCCUCUUUAACAGAGGGAGGCUGUUCUUGGUUGGAGCAUUUAUUCGGUUCUGUUUCCAGGCGACGCUAC